UUUGUAUGAUUAAUUUUCAUACAUGUGUAGUUUAUUCUAAAUUUAAUUGUCUUUUUACACUCCUAGAUGCACAGAACUGCAACAUUACUGAUACCCAUGAUGUUUCCAUGAUGGGCAAGGCAGGAGGCCAUUUAUUGCAUCACAGAAGUUAUUCAUACAUUGCAUCUAGAAGACAAGUUCAUUUUCCAGAAGACUCUUUGAGGAUAUACAACAUAGAAAGAUCUGGGUGUGAGUGAUUUUCUAACAGUAACUUUGUAUUUUGUUGAAUCUCCAAUAUGAAGAAAAAUAUGGAAAUGGAAUCAAAGUGUUACUUCUCAUGUUGCUAAAGUGGAAUGUUCUUUCCAGCUAAUAAAAUGGCAAACAAUAUGUUGAAGGGUCUGAUG
rnacentral:lncRNA from 1 species